AUCGCGUCCUGUCAGCCUGUUUGUAGCCAUACUAGCCUCGUUUUAUCUUUAUCUCAGUAUAUUAAUAUAAUCAUAUUUCUAUAGUGUUUUUUAAUCAUUCUUGUUGAAAAUUCUGCUUAUCCGUUCAGUUAGUGAUUUUUGUAAUUCGAUUAUUGUGUCAAGGCGCUUGCAAGAGCUGCCAAAGAUAACAGUGACGGAUGUACAUCGUCUGGCCAAGACAAGUAGCAAAGCACCGACCUCCAAGUUGGAAAAAGGAUUCAAACUUUGUAUUCAGUUACCUUUUCAACUAUGAAGGUAACUUAAGUAUAGCCAAGUUGCCUAUCAGACCAGACAAGGACGUUUACUGAAAGCUGUAACGUAGUUUAAGACAUGCCUUUUACAGUAGAUAGCUAACAUUAUGAUUGCUCAUUAUUUUUAUUCCAAACCGUUUCGAACAGGGACAAAGUGACGAGAGGUCAGCGUAAGGGCUUGCUGCUACAGGUCCAUGAGGAAAAAUGAGAAACCACACAGUUUGAGUAUAGUGUGAAAAGUCAGCUGUUUGUGACACACUAUAUGCCGGUUACACAGUCAGAGAUGAAGCCUAGUCUUAGACUAAGAAGUUUCUGUCAAUGGAGAUCUGCAUUAAGAGGCAUUGCUUUGUCUAGGACUAGGCUUAACCCAUGUCUAUGAAACCGUUCUUAGUGUAGUAAUUGUUCAGUUGUCUUUGUCGUUGAAAUAUUCAGUCAAUAAUAUUUCUCAAAUAUCGGAGCCUGUGAGUUAAAAUAGACUUUAUUACAAAGUAAUAAAAGCCGAGCUGGUUCAUGAAGAAACUGCCUUCCCAGCCUUGGCACACACUUGUUAUACAGUUUUCAUCCUUACGUCACACACAUAGUAACUCCUCUUUAUGUUAAUGAUUCAUCCACUCUGGCAUGUAGCCACCAUUAUCUUUUUGCCUUGCACUAAUUUUAGCUUGACUUCACAUUAGGGCAUAGAUUCCAUUGCUGGUGUAACCAUAGCAACAGUAAAUAUUAGGCCAUAACAAUAGUACAAAAAUAAACAGACAUGCAGACUCCCAAGACAGGUGCAUGUCUAAUGGUGCCUAAUGACCUAGACACACAUAUAGAGUGCACUUAUUCUGCUUACUACUCUAAGAUGUCACACAUGGACUGGAAAGUUUCCAAUAUCUUCCUUGCUGUUGAUGUAAGCUCUGUUAUGUUGGACGCAUAAGAUCAAAUUUAAACAAGGGCAUAUACCCUUAAUAGAAAAGUUUAAACCUGUAUUGCUGUAAUUAAUUUAGUGGCUGUUGCAUGUUGCGCCAGUCACUUCUGUUUGCUGGUCGUGACUCAUGUUGAGGGAUUUUAUAGUCUAAUCAUUUUCUUUUUAUAUCCCCACAUAUGUUGUACUGAAGCCCUCUGAGCCAGUAACAAUGACACAACAUCACUGUUCAUGUGUUGCUGGCACUGCAUUAUGCAACCACACAGUUGCAUUACUAUUCCAGUCUGCACACUAUUCCCAAAUGGGAACACUAGUCGUCCCACCUGUGCACAGCUGCACAGAGGCCGAGCAGCAGUGGUAUAAGCCAAGGACUAUGGGUCUGCAACCUGGGCCCAUAGACAAAAUGACCAUCACCGAGCCCACCAAAAAUCGCAUGGCAGAAGGAGGGAUUAGGUGGUUUCAAGUACAUUGUUUAGAUUGGGAAACCACAGCGGCUGCUUUGCAGAAGUACACUCUACAGUGCCCUUCUUGGAACGCUCCCUGACCUCUCAGUUCUCCAGAUAGAAGAGGCAUACAAAAGCUUUGACCCUCUAUCCAAGCCAUUGAUCUGCAGCAUGGGGAUGUCUGCUGAAAAGCUUUUAGUCGACUCCCACUUUGGAAAGGUACAGGUGGGGAGCCUUCUGUCUUACCAGCAGCCUCCAAUCACAACGUGACACAUAGUUCACCAUAAGGAGACACCACCAUUCCCUUCACUGCCCGGAGAGCAACUUUCAAGGCUGCACAUUUAUGCUCAGUGAAGAACACCAGCUUCACAUAGUCUCUUCAGGUGAGAGAAUGCAUAGAGUCCCAGUGGUGUUCUCACUAAUUAGAGAGAAGGGUGACUGGUACUACUUAUGUGUACAUGCAAAAGUUCUUAGGCAGGAAAGACUAAAUAUAAAGGGGCAUGCUCCUUUAUCUUUCAAUUAAUGAAAGAGAAACAAACCAACAAAUCUGUCUGCAAUUAAUUAAUGAAUCAUUUAAAAUAAUUCAGUUACAUUUUUCUGUUCUCGUCACUGUAAUUAAAAACUCUUUGUAGCAUUUUGUUUGGAGUAUAAGCAGAGGUGUUUAUUAUCAAUAAAUGGACUACGGGGUGUUAGACAAUGUGGAUGGUCACAGUAAAAAAAGGAAAGAUGCAUUGCAGUAGUAGCUCAUUGCUUCUUGGCCCAUGCCUUCACAAGAGGCCCACACCGGUUGUUUUGUGAGAAGGCAAGCUACAGCCCAGAUGCAUUUGAUGCUUCCCAUCAGUGACAUAAGGAUCUCUUGGACAUGGUAAUAUUCCACUGGAAUAGCAAAGGUACUGCUCCCUUCUUCAGAUGUCAACAACCACUAGAAGGUUCAAUGAAAACUUCUUAAUUUCCUAACUUUCAAUAAAGAUGCCGCACCAACUAAUAACGUUAACGUCAUUAGCACUAACGUUAGCUAGGUACUGGUAGCUAACGUUUACUGGCUAAAGAGACAAAAAAAGACAGAACACAAUCGAAUUACAAAAAUCACCAACUGAACGGAUAUACAGAAUUUUCAACAAGAAUUAUUAAAAAAAAACGCUAUAGAAAUAUGAUUGUAUUAAUAUACUGAGGUAAUGAUAAAACGAGCGACUUCGAGGCUAGUAUGGCUACAAUCAGGUUGACAGGACAAGAUCGGAUAGGAAGUUGAGCAGAAGUGGAGCGUUGCUACGUUGUUCAAAGAAUGAUUGCCAUUUCUUCAAACAAACUCUCUCCCACUUGAUUAGAAUUUUCCACCACAAGGUUCACCUUCCAACAGGACAUCAACCCUAAGCACACAGGCAAGACAACGAAGGAGAGGAUUCAUGACAAGUUUCUGAAUGUCCUGAGUUGCCCAGCCAGAGUCUGGACUUGAACCCAUUUGAACAUCUCUGGAGAGAACUGAAAAUAGCUGUGCAGCAACGCUCCCCAUCCAGCCUGACAGAGCUUGAGAGGAUCUGCAGAGAAGAAUGG